UUCCGGUUGAUCCUGCCGGACCCGACUGCUAUCAGAGUGAGAUUAAGCCAUGCGAGUUAACGUAGCAAUACGUGGCGCACGGCUCAGUAACACGUAGUCAACAUGCCCAGAGGACGUGGAUAACCUCGGGAAACUGAGUCUAAACCGCGAUAAGUGAGGAUUUCUGGAAUGGUUCCUGACUAAAAUCUAUAUGGCCUCUGGAUUGGACUGCGGCCGAUCUGGCUGUUGGUGAGGUAAUGGCCCACCAAACCUGUAACCGGUACGGGCUCUGAGAGGAGGAGCCCGGUGAUGGGCACUGAGACAAGGGCCCAGGCCCUAUGGGGCGCAGCAGGCGCGAAACCUCUGCAAUAGGCGAAAGCCUGACAGGGUUACUCUGAGUGACUUUCGCUAAGAAAGUCUUUUGGCACCUCUAAAAAGGGUGCAGAAUAAGGGGUGGGCAAGUCUGGUGUCAGCCGCCGCGGUAAUACCAGCACCCCGAGUGGUCGGGACGAUUAUUGGGCCUAAAGCAUCCGUAGCCGGUUCUGCAAGUCCCCCGUUAAAUCCAGCUGCUCAACAGAUGGGCCGCGGAGGAUACUACAGAGCUAGGAGGCAGGAGAGGCAAGCGGUACUCAGUGGGUAGGGGUAAAAUCCGUUGAUCCAUUGAAGACCACCAGUGGCGAAGGCGGCUUGCCAGAAUGCGCUCGACGGUGAGGGAUAAAAGCUGGGGGAGCAAACCGGAUUAGAUACCCGGGUAGUCCCAG
rnacentral:rRNA from 1 species